rnacentral:rRNA from 1 species
UACAGAGGGGGCAAGCGUUGUUCGGAAUUACUGGGCGUAAAGGGCGCGUAGGCGGCCUGUUAAGUCGAACGUGAAAUCCCCGGGCUCAACCCGGGAACUGCGUCCGAUACUGGCAGGCUUGAAUCCGGGAGAGGGAUGCGGAAUUCCAUGUGUAGCGGUGAAAUGCGUAGAUAUCUGGAGGAACACCGGUGGCGAAGGCGGCAUCCUGGACCGGCAUUGACGCUGAGGCGCGAAAGCUAGGGGAGCAAACGGG